GUACAACCACUGAUCGGCCUUUGAACAGCUCCUUGUUCUUUUGUUUGAACUAGGAUGCAAAAAGAAAAACCCCUGUGCUUUCUGUCUUUGUGGCAACCUAGAUUGAAUAAGGGAAUACAUCU
rfam:Erinaceus europaeus unplaced genomic scaffold scaffold00562, whole genome shotgun sequence